rnacentral:sRNA from 1 species
GUGGCUGUAAUUAAACUCUCCCGAGCUGCAGUUGACAUUGAUUUGGGAGGCGGACUUGCUCUUGGUAUGCUCUUGGCCGUGCGCCCGCCGCCCGCCUGACAGUUUGGCAAUACUGUAUCAGUCCGGCAGCAGGCAGCAAAUGGAGAGAGAGAAGGAGGAAAGAAAUACGAGAAUCUGCUCAGGGAAGAGGAAAAGCUGGGAAUUUGAAUGGCAGUGGUAAGUGGCCAAAGACCAAGCACACGGGCACACGGGACUGAUGGACACACGAGCACACGGGCACACGGGACAGAUGGAGACGCAAAUGGCCGAAACUGUGUUGGCAAUUUGCUGCAAUCAUCUACAUGCAGCUUACAAUUCCCCUUGGUUCGCACUCCCCACUCCCACACCUCUCGUGUUUUUUCCGAGUGCAUCUAGAUUGCUGUUGUCUGUGCUUUUUGUUGGCUACUUUUUGGCAAGCGAAUUGUUGGCGUGGAUUUCUCAAGACCCUUGACGGAUGAUAGUCCAGGACACACACACACACACACACGAGAAUCGGAUCAUUUUGGCCUGACCUCUUGUGGCAGAUAUUUGCAUGUUUCUAAACAGGUGUAAAUUAAAUUUGACAACUUUUACGGCUGCCUGGGACAGCGCUGGACAAAGGCCGUCUGUCUGCCUUUCUGCCUGUCCUGUCCUUGUGCUUGUUGUCCCUGGUGGCAGAUUUAAUUCAA